AAUAAGUACAGUCGUGGAUAUCCGUGUCCAACGUUUGACCGUCCUUCUUAUUUGAAAAAUUUAUGAAAUAAUUAAAAAAAAUAGCCACACAUAAAGUACUAUUCAUAUUUUAUUAUCUAAUACAAAAUUUUCAAAUAAGAUGAACGGUCAAACGUUAAAUGUGAAUAGUGUAAAACUACACUUAUU
rfam:Oryza sativa Japonica Group DNA, chromosome 1, cultivar: Nipponbare, complete sequence.